AUGGGUUCGAGCCGAGCGAAGCGAGACAACGGAGCGAAGCGACGGCCCGAAGGGUGAGCGCCAGCGAAUAAUCCCUCCAGGCGCGCCA
rnacentral:sRNA from 1 species